UUGUGCAGUUGUCUCCCUUGUGAGCUCCAAAUCCAAGUCCAGGGUGUCUCUGCAAUGGCCUGGCCUCCUGUCCUCCUCCUCUUCCUGCUAACUCAGUACCCAGGCUCCUGGGCACAGACUGGACUGACGCAGGAAGUCUCAGUGUCAGGGUCUGUGGGACAGACAGUCACCCUCUCCUGCACUGGAAACAGCAACAAUGUCGGUUAUUCUAGAACAGGCUGGUACCAGCAGAUACCUGGUGCUGCCCCCAAAACUGUGAUGAUUGAAAGUACUCGACCUACAGGGAUUCCAGCUAGGUUCACUGGUUCUUCAUCUGGAAACAAGGCCACUCUGACCAUCUCAGGCGUGCAGCCUGAGGAUGAGGCUGAUUAUUAUUGUUCUGCAUGGGACAAAAGUAUCAGCAAUGUCACAGUGCUUCAGACUCAAGGAGAAGUGAGACAAAAACCUAGGCAUGGUCUUAAUGAUCUCCACGUGUCAGCCUGUGCCAAACAGGAAACAGAGCUGUGGAGCCUGUACUUUCUGAGUGUGUCUGAGCACAAAGCCACUGAACAGGGUCAGUGA